AAAAUCCAAUUGUAUAUUUCAGUACAACAAAAACCUGGUGUCUGCCCUGAGCUGCCUAAAGGAACUAUUGGGUUGUGUGCUGAAUUUUGCUCAGGAGAUCAGUCAUGUCCCAAUGAUCUGAAGUGCUGCAGCAAUGGAUGUGGUCAUUCCUGCCAAUCCCCUGUUUUCAUAGAGAGUGACUCUGGCAGCCAGGUGAAACAUGGAAAGGACAAGCACAUCUAGUGACCAUCCUUGGAGAAUUUCUCGGGAACCCAUGUGUCUGCUGCCUGCCUCCUCCCUAUCCCUGGAAUUGCAGCUGUAGAAGAUGAGGAUCUGCAGUGGUGGGGUGACUGCUUUGUAAAGCUGGUGUCCCAAUAAACCAUGUAUGUGGCAUUA